GUCUUCGUGGGUCAGUCGGGCAGAGCGUUGGUCUCAGAAAUAUGACUCAAUCUUCAGAUUGGGUGUAUCCAACGGUCGUGAGUUCGAGCCUCACCGAGGACA